GCCAGGUAUUAGUGGCACAUGCCUGUAGUCCCUUGGGAGGCCAAGGCAGGAGGAUCACUUGAGCUCAGGAGUUGAAAGCCAACCUGAGCACCAUAGCAAGACCCCACCUUGU
rnacentral:sRNA from 1 species